rnacentral:rRNA from 1 species
GCGUAAAGAGCUCGUAGGUGGUUUGUCGCGUUGUUCGUGAAAUCUCACGGCUUAACUGUGAGCGUGCGGGCGAUACGGGCAGACUUGAGUACUGCAGGGGAGACUGGAAUUCCUGGUGUAGCGGUGGAAUGCGCAGAUAUCAGGAGGAACACCGGUGGCGAAGGCGGGUCUCUGGGCAGUAACUGACGCUGAGGAGCGAAAGCGUGGGGAGCGAACAGGAUUAGAUACCCUGGUAGUCCACGCCGUAAACGGUGGGUACUAGGUGUGGGUUUCCUUCCUUGGGAUCCGUGCCGUAGCUAACGCAUUAAGUACCCCGCCUGGGGAGUACGGCCGCAAGGCUAAAACUCAAAGAAAUUGACGGGGGCCCGCACAAGCGGCGGAGCAUGUGGAUUAAUUCGAUGCAACGCGAAGAACCUUACCUGGGUUUGACAUGCACAGGACGCCGGCAGAGAUGUCGGUUCCCUUGUGGCCUGUGUGCAGGUGGUGCAUGGCUGUCGUCAGCUCGUGUCGUGAGAUGUUGGGUUAAGUCCCGCAACGAGCGCAACCCUUGUCUCAUGUUGCCAGCGGGUAAUGCCGGGGACUCGUGAGAGACUGCCGGGGUCAACUCGGAGGAAGGUGGGGAUGACGUCAAGUCAUCAUGCCCCUUAUGUCCAGGGCUUCACACAUGCUACAAUGGCCGGUACAAAGGGCUGCGAUGCCGCGAGGUUAAGCGAAUCCUUUUAAAGCCGGUCUCAGUUCGGAUCGGGGUCUGCAACUCGACCCCGUGAAGUCGGAGUCGCUAGUAAUCGCAG